CUCGGUUCGUGACUCGGAUAUACAGUGCUCGCAUUACCCAGGGUUUCUUCUCUUCGACUACCGCCAUAGUGGUGAACGGAUAGCGAUCUCCGAAAUGGCGUCGCAUAAGACCUUCAGAAUAAAGCGCUUCCUCGCCAAGAAGCAGAA